rnacentral:rRNA from 1 species
AAUUUUCCACAAUGGGGGCAACCCUGAUGGAGCAACGCCGCGUGCAGGAUGAAUGCCUUCGGGUUGUAAACUGCUUUUAUAUGUGAAGAUUAUGACGGUAGCAUAUGAAUAAGGAUCGGCUAACUCCGUGCCAGCAGCCGCGGUCAUACGGAGGAUCCAAGCGUUAUCCGGAAUUACUGGGCGUAAAGAGUUGCGUAGGCGGCAUAGUAAGCGAGUAGUGAAAUGAUGUGGCUCAACCAUGUGUCCAUUACUUGAACUGCUAAGCUAGAGCAUGAAAGAGGUAGCUGGAAUUCCCUGUGUAGGAGUGAAAUCCGUAGAUAUAGGGAGGAACACCGAUGGCGUAGGCAGGCUACUGGUUCAUUGCUGACGCUCAGGCACGAAAGCGUGGGGAGCGAC